ACAGCGACAUCUAUAACCAUCUGGUAGUGGGCCGUUCAGAGCCGUGCGGAGUUUGUUACAGAGAGUAGUGGCGUCAGAGGUCGUUCAGGGCCACGUGGAGCUUGUUGCGGAGAGUGGAGUGGUGUUCGUUGUCAUGACUUGCCAGAGAGUGGUGGAGCUGCAUGGAAUCCAUUGCAGAGAGUGGAGCAGGGUGGCGGUACUUGUCGUGGCUUGUCAGAGAGUGGUGAAGCCACGUGGAAUCUGUUGCAGCGAAUGGAGUAAGGUAGUGGCCCUUGUCGUGGCUUGCCAAAGAGCUUGGAUCCGUCAGCUGAAGCUCGGUUGGGAUGCUUGAUGGAGCAGAAUGGCCCUUUACAUCAUCGCUCUAAGAGAGGCUCGGGUGUUUCGAGGUCACUGAUGAAUCUACUAUUGUCGGACUUCGGGCACUGACAUCUCAGGCGGGAGUCACCUACUGUAGGAGUUCAGAUUGAGAUUUUCUGUUGGUGAAGUCCGGGAAAGUCCGAUCGCUAGAGAAGUCUGUUUGAGACUUAUUUGAUGUGGAAGCUCAUCCGAAGAUCGCCCGUCGGUGAAGUUCGAUUUUAUAGGAAGCCUGGUAGGAGGUCGGCUGGCGAUGGACUUCGGAUAGCGCUGGGGAGGCUUGGCAGACAUCGGAGGCAAUUGGCUAUCGCAGGGACCCAGCUGCUGGAGCUCGUCUGGAACCCAUCCGUCGGAGAAGUAGCUCGACUGAAGUCUACAGUAGAUGUC
rnacentral:lncRNA from 1 species